AUAUAAAACAAAAGAAAAAUACAGAGAGUCAAAGAACAUUGAUGAUAA
rnacentral:guide_RNA from 1 species